rnacentral:lncRNA from 1 species
CGGGCUUCUUGUAGAUGUUUCUUUAAGGUCUGUAAGGUGUCAUCUAUAGUAUAAACUUCAGUGACAAGCUGAAACUGAGGUGCAUCACGGCAUAGUUCUAUAUUGGGUCUCCUAGUUCUUCCCUCCAGACGUGUCUGAGCCACUUUCAGUGGGUACUCCUUCGCCAUUAUGGAUCUCUCCAGUAGCAUGAUUGUAUCUUCUGUCUGGAAGAUUUCUUGAAGUACCUGAACAGAGAAGAACAUUUUUGUAAGCCUCACAUGCAUCCAAAAUCAGAACUUAACUCUGCUUUAAAC